ensembl:misc_RNA 7SK 7SK RNA
UGAGCUAAGGGCGAUCUGGCUAUGACAUCUGUCACCCAUUGAUCACCAGGGUUGAUUCGGCUGAUCUGGCAAGAUUUUGUCCCCUUCCUCCCUCACUGUUCCAUGUGCAUCCCUCCUGAAGCUAUGCGCUUAGACAAAGAAGAUGACCUUCCCCCAUAGAGGAGGACUGUUCUUUGGUCAAAAGUAGCUGUGCUCCCUUGCUAGAACCUCCAAACAAGCUCUCAAGGUUCAUAAAUGCCAGUUAGCAAACCCAGAUGACCUAAUCACAUUGGCCAACCCCAUUCACUUUUUGU